GAUGAACGCUGGCGGCGCAUUUAAGACAUGCAAGUCGAACGAAAAUUUACGCUUUACAAGUUGAGUGAUUUAUCAUAAGACAAGUAAUUGUAAAUUUUAGUGGCGGACGGGUGAGUAAUACAUAGAUAAUCUGCCUCUUAGAGGGAAAUAACUACUGGAAACGGUAGCUAAUGUCCCAUAAGACCACGCUUAGGCAUCUAAGAGAGGUCAAAGGAGAAAUCCGCUAAGAGAUGAGUCUAUGGCUGAUUAGUUAGUUGGUGGGGUAAGGGCCUACCAAGACUAUGAUCAGUAGCCGAGCUGAGAGGCUGGCCGGCCACAUUGGGACUGAGACACGGCCCAGACUCCUACGGGAGGCAGCAGUUGGGAAUAUUGGACAAUGGAGGAAACUCUGAUCCAGUGACGCCGCGUGAAGGAAGAAGGUCUUCGGAUUGGUAAAACUUAUUUUAUCAGGGAAGAACAAAUGACUGUACCUGAAGAGAAGCACCGGCUAACUACGUGCCAG
rnacentral:rRNA from 1 species